CUUCUUGUCUGCUGGUAGUUCUGUCCUGGCUGCCAUACUUAGCAUUUGGAAGAGCUGUUAGGCAGAAAUGGUUCAAGACCUAGACUGAUUUGCUGCUGUGGGUAGGGAGCCCACAUACCCUGCCAAGGAAGAAAGGCUGGACUUGCUAGUGAGAGAGCAAUAGCAUCCUUAAUGGAAAAGGCUAUACAUGGUUCUUUCAAGAGUUCUGAGAUGCACUGGAAGACAGUAUGAACACUGGGAAGAGAAUGAAAGUGGACAGAGGCUCCUGGGUGAUGUCAAUAUAAAAGAUAAUUGUACUUGGGAUGUGCUUACAAAUGCAACUGGUUAAAAAAAGUGACAGGAGUUGAUUGUCACAGGGUCCUAUGUGUAGGUUUCAAAGACCAUUGUCUUUACAUAGACAAGGACCUUGGAUCAAGGAAAUAUUACAUAACUGGUUUGAAUCCAUGUAAUUAGCUAGAAGUAGGAAAACAUUC